GACGAACGCUGGCGGCGUGCCUAAUACAUGCAAGUAGAACGCUGAAGGAGGAGCUUGCUUCUCUGGAUGAGUUGCGAACGGGUGAGUAACGCGUAGGUAACCUGCCUGGUAGCGGGGGAUAACUAUUGGAAACGAUAGCUAAUACCGCAUAAUAGUAGAUGUUGCAUGACAUUUGCUUAAAAGGUGCAAUUGCAUCACUACCAGAUGGACCUGCGUUGUAUUAGCUAGUUGGUGGGGUAACGGCUCACCAAGGCGACGAUACAUAGCCGACCUGAGAGGGGGAUCGGCCACACUGGGACUGAGACACGGCCCAGACUCCUACGGGAGGCAGCAGUAGGGAAUCUUCGGCAAUAGACGGAAGUCUGACCGAGCAACGCCGCGUGAGUGAAGAAGGUUUUCGGAUCGUAAAGCUCUGUUGUAAGAGAAGAACGAGUGUGAGAGUGGAAAGUUGACACUGUGACGGUAUCUUACCAGAAAGGGACGGCUAACUACGUG
rnacentral:rRNA from 1 species